AAAUAAUAAAUAUUAAUAAAUAAUUGAUUUUUUUAAAGAAGAAAUACAAGUUAUACAUAUUUUUUAAAACACACGUUUGAUGUACAUUUAACUAUUUUCGAUAUUCAUUUAGAUCAUUCAAUGCGUCUAUGACAGUUCUCAAAAUGAAUUUCGAAAGAAUAUAGAAGAUUUAUGCAUUCGACUACCGUACAAUCGUCGAUGAAUUUAUAAAGUUAGCAUAUUAUCGAAAUUCUUAAUUUUUUUAAAUGAUGUCUCUUUUGACAUUAAAAAAAUUUAAAUGUUUAUUAGGAAAUUUUCUAAAUGACGUCAAAAAUUAUUAUCACGAAAAAAUAAUAAACAUUAAUAAAAUAAUUAUUUUUUUAAGAAAAACGAGUUAUACGCAUUUUUUAACACACACGUUUGAUAUACGUUUAACUAUUUUCGAUAUUCAUUUGGAUUAUUCGAUAUGUUUAUGAUAUAGUUCUCGAAAUGAAUUUCAAGAGAAUAUAAAAGGUUUAUGGUAGAUUUUUAUUAAAAAAUAAAAUAAAUCACUUAAUAAAAAAAUUUGACAAAAAAAUAAAUAAAUAAAGCAACUCUGCGCAUCACGAUGCUUCGUGAUGCGCGGAGCAUAUUUGCUCCUGGAUGUCAGGUGCAAUUUUGCUCCGUUAGGGAAUUUUUUUUUUAAUAAAUGAUGUUCAGUGUCAAUUUCUUUUUUUUUUAUUAGGUGAUUUAUUUAUUUAUUUUUUUUGGUAAAAAUCUAUCAUAAAUCUUUAUAAAUAUUCUAUAUUCUCUCGAAGUUUGUUUCGAUAACUAUAUAAUAGAUACAUCGAAUGAUUUAAAUGAAUAUCGAAGAUAGUUAAACAUACAUCAAGCGUGUGUUAAAAAAUGCUUAUACUUGUCCUUUUUUCUUUAAAAAAUCAAUUAUUUUAUUAUUUUUUAUUAUUUUUUCGCAACAAUUCAUUUUUGACGUCA
rnacentral:lncRNA from 1 species